GUCCUCGCUGCUCAGGGGGAAGCAUCACCAGGACCUGCGGAGCCCUAACCUUCUGUCUGCUCCCCGCCUCUCAGCCAUCUCCAGGGACUUCCGGGAUUAGCCCGAGGUGAUUCUCCUUGUAAAGGAAAUAACAUCUGUUGCGAAUCUCCGUUUUUGUCCAGCUGAAACACUGACGAAAACGGUGGAAUGACCCUGUGUGACUCCCGAGGCUAGAUCCUAAUAAGUCUUGGAGCUACUACCUGGGGCUCCUGGAACAUGAGCUCUGGGGAAAGCCAGACGCAAUGCUAGCUUCGAGAAGCCCUCAUACUCAGAGACUGCUACUGCGUCAUAAGGAAGCCCACAGCUGCUUUCCGGCCACUCCAGCCCAGGUGCAGACAUGUGAGUGAAGAAGGUUCAGAAUAAUGAAUAUUCUGACGUUCAAGAUCAAGUUGUACGAAAGGUAACAUAUGAUAAAUUCCAAGACAUUCCAGAGAGGAAAGAGUGGGUGGCAGCUGGUGAGCUGCAACAUUUUUCUUUUCAGAGAACAAUUCUUGUGGAAGAAACAGCAUUGCUGCCGUUUUCUAUUUUCAGCGCACAGUGACACUUAACUAAUGUAAUUAUUAUUCAAGUGAAGGUGUAGAGCUAGCUGCAAGCCUUCAUUGGCAAGUUUUACAAAACUGAUAUACAGUAGAGGAUGCAAAUGGGUAGUCUGCUGCAAUUCACGUAAAAGGUUUGCAGUUUGAAUUCGGAUUACCUAUACAAGGGUAUUUACAACCUAUCCAUGAGGCAACAAACCUCGUGUACCCAUCAACCUAGUUUAACAACUAGAACAGUACCGAUAGCCCUGAAGCCUUCUAGUCACACUCAGUGCCUAGAAAUAAUAGAGAUGAGCUGCCAACAGUUAAACAGGUAACAUUUCACGUGCACACCUAGAUAUCCAGCUUCUCCUGAAAAACCUGGCGCUGCUGCUGGGGGCCUGCAUUCCUGUAGGGAAAUAUUGGGUUGGGUCACCCCUCCAGUUCAGCACAUCCCACCCUGUGUCUGCUUAUCUGGCUGCCUUCCUUCAUCCACAUGACCUGGCUGGCACCGAGGCAUCUGAGUUCAUAACCCCUGGUAUGUGUGUUUCCUUUCUGGGUUGGUUUUCUCUCCUCUGACCUGGUUCAAGACCUCCAUUUCCCUAGUUCUCCUGCCUCUGCUUCGGGGCACCUCCUUUCUGGGUGGCGUGGGACCUUUCAGAGGCACUAGGCUCCACGAAGAUGCACAGAUGAGAUGUCCCAACCCUCAGUGGACAUGAGCUGCGUACAUCCUAGUGACUUGUGUACGACUGCAUAUUAUAUAAGACAGGCAACAAUGGGAAUGUAGAAAGGGUGUAGGAGCACAAA